rnacentral:pre_miRNA from 1 species
UAAGUACUCCCUCCGUCCCAAAAAACUUGUCCCUCAAAUGGUUGUAUCUAGCACCAAGUUAGUGCUAGAUACAUCCAUUUGAGGAACAAGCUUGGGACAAGUUUUUUCGGACGGAGGGAGUACUAU